AAGCGGUGGAGCAUGUGGUUUAAUUCGAAGCAACGCGAAGAACCUUACCAAGUCUUGACAUCCCGAUGACUGGGGCGUAACGGUCCCUUCUCUUCGGAGCAUUGGAGACAGGUGGUGCAUGGUUGUCGUCAGCUCGUGUCGUGAGAUGUUGGGUUAAGUCCCGCAACGAGCGCAACCCUUAUCGUCCGUUACUAACAGGUAAAGCUGAGGACUCAGACGAGACCGCCGGGGACAACUCGGAGGAAGGUGGGGACGACGUCAAAUCAUCAUGCCCCUUAUGAUCUGGGCGACACACGUGCUACAAUGGCGGUCA
rnacentral:rRNA from 1 species